CACGUAGGGCGCGAGCGUUGUCCGGAAUUAUUGGGCGUAAAGAGCUCGUAGGCGGCCUGUUGCGUCCGCUGUGAAAGCCCGGGGCUUAACCCCGGGUCGGCAGUGGAUACGGGCAGGCUAGAGGUAGGUAGGGGAGAAUGGAAUUCCCGGUGUAGCGGUGAAAUGCGCAGAUAUCGGGAGGAACACCGGUGGCGAAGGCAGCUCACUGGGACGGUACUGACGCUGAGACGCGAAAGCGUGGGGAGCAAACAGG
rnacentral:rRNA from 1 species